AUCGCUUCUCGGCCUUUUGGCUGAGAUAAUGUGUAGUAUCUGUUCUUAUCAGUUUAAUAUCUGAUACACCCCCUAUCUGGGGGCAAUAUCUUAAAUGGAUUUUUAGAACACAGAGAUGGAAAGGGCUUUCUCUGUCCACUCCACACAUUGAACUGGUAUUGCAGUACCUCCGGGACCGGUGCAAAUAGU